AGCUGCAUGGUAAAACAAAGAUGGCGCCUACAUCCAGUCCCAUCUGGUAGUAAACGACUUAUCAAGCAUGCGCAGACUUGUCCCCUUGCCAGGGGAGCCGUAGGAUAAUGAGUUGAUCUGGCGCCCACCUGUGGUGAACAAAGGUACUGUGCAUGCACUUGCAUGCACGGGUUUUGCACCUGGAGCCAGUUGGCCAGGACGUUAAUAUGCUAAUGAGGGAUUCAUGCUCCGCCAAUCCCUGAAGGACAAUUAGCAUAGCCUCAGCCUGCUGGAAUCAUUUGUUUCUAUCAAAGAGGGGGGAAAACAAGAAAAUGGAAUUCACAGCUACUGUGUCUGGGUACUUUCCACUGUGCAUUCGGAAGCGGGUUCCAAGCCAGUAGCCCUGCAGAGAGAGGAGAGCACUCCAUCGGACACAUUCCUUGUAAGGAACUGGUUUUAUUUAACGGUGUUGAACAGCUGGAGAGCACACAGCUAACAACCACUUGAGCAUGAAAGUGUCUGAUGACUGCAAAUAAAAUAUGGCAUGCGAUGAGGUCCAGAGGUAAUAACAAUAUACAAUAGGAGAAAGGUGCAGAGACAGGCUGAAACCUGUGAGCUGGAACAAAUGCCGAAGGAUCCCUGCCUCUGGCAUGGGCUUCCUAGCCAGAAACCAUGUAAAUCAUUAGAGGAGUCGGCUGCAGUCACCUCAGUAUAUGUGACUGGAAAAUGACAAAGUCAGGUGUUGGGAACGAAGACGAAGAAAACUCCAAGCAGAGAAAAUGUCAGCUUUCACAGCAGUUUUCAACAGCGUUUAAGUAUCAUGUCAGUAAAAAUAUUUAUGAAUUGAAAUCAUCCUCUGGUCAGAGGAUUUCUUCCCUUGCAGAAGAGAAACAAGCCCAGGAUCAAAGCUGGUUGAAAAGCAACGCUGAAUUUUAAAUGUAACUGCAGGCUGAGCUGUGAUUUUAAAUAACUGCAUGUGUUUUAAAGGAUCACUUGCUCUGCUCUCUCUUGACAUGUUUUUUCCCCCUACAGGUGACUGUCAAAUGUAUUCUGUGAUGAAAAUAAAAACUGCAUCACUCGAAGGUGUUUUGCAUCUUCUGAGCUGCAUCUCAUCAUCUACUGAGAAAUGAAAGAUUUUCUCUCCUUUUUUUAAUGUAAAAGGACAACAUACAAAAGUUAAAUUUGAAGAAGACCUUCCCCAACCAAACAGCCAUUUAAGAUAAAAUAAAUGUAUACGCAUACUGAGGAGACUUCUUGUUCAGAAAAACAGAGAGGUUGAUGACUCAAUAAAGAUGUUAACAAGUAGACUGUUUAGUGAUCAAGAAUCAUGGAAAUAUUAAAGU